rnacentral:rRNA from 1 species
AUGCUCCGCCUCUCCCGCUUCCUCCCCUCCACCUCCAGGGGAGUCACUGACCUAAAAGAUGUUCUCUGGAGCGGUUCGUUGACAUUCAAGCAUGCGCUUUCGACUUCAGCUGCAAAUGUUGAUGAGAAUGCAUCUGUUAAAAAGUAUGCGAGCUACACUGUGUUCAAGGGAAAGGCUGCACUUUCUAUAAGUCCUAUCCUUCCUUUAUUCACCAAAGUCGAAUCUGGAGGAUCUCGAGUGGACAGGAAUGGGUCAGUAAUGUUGACCUUUUUCCCGGCAGUUGGACAAAGGAAGUACGACUAUACAAAGAAACAGCUCUUUGCUCUGUCACCUACUGAAGUUGGGAGCUUGAUAAGUCUUGGGCCUGCUGAAUCAUGCGAAUUCUUCCAUGAUCCUUCCAUGAAAUCAAGUCAUGAAGGCCAAGUGAAAAAGUCAUUGUCAAUUACUCCUCUUGGCAGUGACAAUGGAUACUUCGUUAACAUAACUGUUCUGAAUAAUGUGCAGAAGACCAACGAACGCCUUUCAGUCCCUGUAACAAAAGCUGAAUUUGCAGUUAUGCGCACGGCAUUGAGUUUUGCAUUGCCGCACAUCAUGGGUUGGGACCAGGCCCUAUCGACUCACCCUCAAAGCACCUCGACCUCAGCUAGCAAGCCUAGGUUCGAGCAGCCAAAUCCAGCUUCGGAGUGGGACAGGUGA